GGGCCUCCCCAGCCACAGGCCACCAGAGUCAAUGUCUGGCCUAGGCCCAUCCCCAGGGUGUCUGUGCUGCACAUCCUCAGCCUCCAACUGGCAGCCAUGAUCAUCUCCGCCAUCCAGAGGGGGCAGGAACUGACCCAGGAUCACACAGGGCUUGCCAACGAAUGAGAGCAGUCUUCCUCACUUCACCCGGGGUUGUGACAGAUCUGUGGCCUCCUCCCCACUCCGCUGAAGGGAAACUGAGAGACCCUCUAGGCUCUGUCUGCGGAUGAGUCCCCGUCUUAGCGGAAGCCCCAGGAUUAGCCAGCCCAUGGCCCCCGUGGCCAGCCGCCAGGUCAUGCUCCAGCCUGCUGCAAGACAGGGCAGACCUGGUGGCUCUUAGCAUGGAGCCAUCAGAGGCUCAGUGGCGACAGGGCUAAGCCAUGAGGAAGAUGCGUGACGCCACCCUGGUUGCACGGGGAAAACCUGACCGUGGCUGAGUUCAAGAAGUUCAAACUGAAGCUGGAAGCGGAGCCGCUGCACCGAGGCUUCCAGAGCAUCCCGCGGGGCUGCUCCGGCAGCGAGACGCCCCACAAAGCUGGUUGCCCUCUGCGGUGAGCACUUCGGCUCUGAGCCCAAGGCAGUCAGGCUGCGGGACAUUGGCAUGCAGGAGGAGGCAGCUCGGUUUCAAGGGAUCACAUCAGUCCCCCACUCCCGGCAGAUCCCAUUCAACCACUCUUGAGUCCUGGCACAUGGUCUCUGGACACAGCCCCUCUUCGUCGCCAAGGACCCAGAUCUCGCUCUUCGGCCCACAUUGGGAGUUCUGGGGUUACCAGCAAAGUCUCUUUAGAAGUCUGGGGGCCAAGCAGAAGUGCAGUGCAACGCUGAUGUUUGGGGGCAAAGAUAACCCGCAGAAGCCCACCCCGCUCAUCAUUUGCAAGAAGACGAUGGCAGCUUCCCUGCCGGGGCUAAGGACCGCUCCCUGCCUCCAGAACCCGCCUCGUCCCGCUCCCGCACCUGUCGUUUAUUCUUCUACAGCCCAACAAAUGCUUCAUGGCAGAACUUCCUGGGCCUGUGUAGACACAUACUCUCCUGUCGCUACAUGCGUGUGAUUUGCCACACGUCUGACACGGACGAGCCAGUGUGUGUGUGUGUGUGUGUGUGUGUGUGUGUGUGUGUGUGUGUGUGUGUGUCUAUUUGCUAAUGUCUGGGUAUCUUUUCUGGGCACCCGUGGGAAUGGCAAACCCUGGGGUGCGCACAACUGUGUGUGGGCUCUGUAAGCAAGCGUUCGAGACUUCCAGCUCCAUGGAGAAAAACAGCCCGGAUUUAGGUCUCGGUGCCAACCUGGGCCUGCGCACAGAGGUGGGUU